AACGAACGCUGGCGGCAGGCUUAACACAUGCAAGUCGAACGCGUGUAGCAAUACACGAGUGGCGCACGGGUGAGUAACGCGUGGAUAUCUGCCUUUUGGUUCGGAAUAACCCCGGGAAACUGGGGCUAAUACCGGAUGGUUCCUUCGGGAUAAAGAUUUAUCGCCAAAAGAUGAGUCCGCGUACGAUUAGCUAGUUGGUGAGGUAAUGGCUCACCAAGGCGACGAUCGUUAGCUGGUCNGAGAGGACGAUCAGCCACACUGGGACUGAGACACGGCCCAGACUCCUACGGGAGGCAGCAGUGGGGAAUUUUGGACAAUGGGGGCAACCCUGAUCCAGCCAUGCCGCGUGAGCGAAGAAGGCCUUCGGUUGUAA
rnacentral:rRNA from 1 species